rnacentral:rRNA from 1 species
CCUACGGGUGGCAGCAGUGGGGAAUAUUGGACAAUGGGCGAAAGCCUGAUCCAGCCAUGCCGCGUGUGUGAAGAAGGCCUUCGGGUUGUAAAGCACUUUCAGUGGGGAAGAAAGCCUUGGGGCUAAUACCCUCGAGGAAGGACAUCACCCACAGAAGAAGCACCGGCUAACUCCGUGCCAGCAGCCGCGGUAAUACGGAGGGUGCGAGCGUUAAUCGGAAUUACUGGGCGUAGAGCGCGCGUAGGCGGUCUGAUAAGCCGGUUGUGAAAGCCCCGGGCUCAACCUGGGAACGGCAUCCGGAACUGUCAGGCUAGAGUGCAGGAGAGGAAGGUAGAAUUCCCGGUGUAGCGGUGAAAUGCGUAGAGAUCGGGAGGAAUACCAGUGGCGAAGGCGGCCUUCUGGACUGACACUGACGCUGAGGUGCGAAAGCGUGGGUAGCAAACAGGAUUAGAUACCCGUGUAGUC